rnacentral:rRNA from 1 species
GACGAACGCUGGCGGCGUGCCUAAUACAUGCAAGUCGAACGCUUCUUUCCUCCCGAGUGCUUGCACUCAAUUGGAAAGAGGAGUGGCGGACGGGUGAGUAACACGUGGGUAACCUACCCAUCAGAGGGGGAUAACACUUGGAAACAGGUGCUAAUACCGCAUAACAGUUUAUGCCGCAUGGCAUAAGAGUGAAAGGCGCUUUCGGGUGUCGCUGAUGGAUGGACCCGCGGUGCAUUAGCUAGUUGGUGAGGUAACGGCUCACCAAGGCCACGAUGCAUAGCCGACCUGAGAGGGUGAUCGGCCACACUGGGAGUGAGACACGGCCCAGACUCCUACGGGAGGCAGCAGUAGGGAAUCUUCGGCAAUGGACGAAAGUCUGACCGAGCAACGCCGCGUGAGUGAAGAAGGUUUUCGGAUCGUAAAACUCUGUUGUUAGAGAAGAACAAGGACGUUAGUAACUGAGCGUCCCCUGACGGUAUCUAACCAGAAAGCCACGGCUAACUACGUG